rnacentral:lncRNA from 1 species
GGGCGCCAUCUUGGCCCCGCGGAGCGUGACUGUCUCGGCUGGAAGCGUGGGAGGCCGGAGGAUCAGUGACUGGCUGUCGUGGACAUGCUCGCUACACCUCCCGGGGCUUCGCUUCGUUUACUAUUAACUGUCGUUACUCCUCUGUAUCUCGUCAGCAGGGGCUGCCUGCGGUGUUAGAAUUACACGCCCCUGCCACCUGGGCACGGAGCCCAGUCUCCCGGCCCCUCAGUCAGUCCUUGGGUGUAGCUGGAGCAUUUAAGAAAAAUGAAAUAUAGGAACUCAGUGCAUGGUUUCCUGGGCCUUUUUAUUGAAUAUCAUUUCUAACAUGUACACAGUAUAACCCAGGCUUAGUGGAUUCCGGGACAGAAAAUGUUGGGAGCUGGGAUAGUCAAGUAAACAAGAAGAAAUGGUAAAGAGAUGCCAAGUGGGAGAGGAAACUACGGAUGCAGAGAGAGGAUCUGGGAUAAAGAGAACAAAGAUGCGUGGUCGACUUUAUGGAAACUCGUUUCUUUUUAAUAAGUGAGGUACAUGGUAGAAGACUUUGACAUGUUGAUUAUGUGACUGGGACCAAGGACAACAACUCGAGAAUUGAUUAAAACUACAGUUAUUCCUUGGUUGCCCCAAGGAUGAUCCUGGUACAAUAUGGCUAUUUCCUUUUCACUGGUUAGCCAAGUGAAGCAGUGGGAGUGGAGAAGGAACAAAGAAAUCUGUAAAGUAGUUGUGAUCAAUUAGUUGUAAACACCACUGCACUCAGACUCAGACCAGCUUGCAUUGAUUUUUAUGACCUAAUCUCAGAGGUUGUACAGCGUCACUUCCACUGUACUCUACUUGUUGAAGCAGCUACAAAAACACCACAUUUAAGUAAAGGGGACACUAAUUGGGAGGAGUGUUAGUCACAUUAUAAGAAGAGCAUGUGGAAUGAGAGAUUAAGUAGAGAUAUUAUUGCAGUCAUUUAAGGAAAAUAUAAUCUCCCAUAAUAUUAAUAUCUGUUUUCCUUUUGUAAAAAAAAAAUGUACCAUUUCAGGCUGAGCAUGUUGGCUCAUGCCUGUAAUCAUAACAUUUUGGGAGGCUGAGGCCAGUGGAUCACCUGAGGUCAGGAAUUCGAGACCAGCCUGGCCAACAUGGCGAAACCUCGUCUCUGUUAAAAAUACAAAAAUUAGCCGGGUGUGGUGGCAGUCACCUAUAAUCCCAGCUACUCGGAAGGCUGAGGCAGGAGAAUCGCUUGAACCCAGGGGCGGAGGUUGCAGGGAGCUGGUACCACCACUGCACUCCAGCCUGGAUGACAGAGUGAAACUCUGUCUCAAAAAAACAAAACAAAACAAAAACUAAAAUGUACCAUUUCAGAUUUUUUUUCUGAAAUUAAACCUGAAAAGGUCAAAAAACACAUAAAUUACAGUCCCUUUCAAUUACUUACCAGGUACAGGUAUUGUUUAAGUCUAUAGAAGUUCAGACUAUAGUAGUUCAAAAUACCUUAUACAGGGCAGCUUAUAAAAAGCAGAAGUUUAUUUCUCAUAGUUCUGAAGACUGGGAAGUCCGGGUUCAAGGUUCUGGCAGAUUCAGUGCCUGUCGAGGGACUGCUUUUUGGUUCACAGAUAGUGUCUUCUAGCUGUCUCCUCAUGUGGUAGAAGGGUGCCUUUUUUAUUAGUACCCCUAGUUUUAUUUAUUUUAUUUUAUUUUUUAGAGACAGGGGUUUUACUAUGUUGCCCAGGCUAGCCUCAAACUCCUGGGCUUGAGCGAUCCUCCCACCUCAGCCUCCCAAGUAGUUGGGACUACAGGCACAUGUUAAAACACCUGGUUCCUAUUAGUGGUUAUUUUAUAAAGGCACUAAUCUCAUCUGUGGCACCAGAGCCCUCAUGACCUAAUUACCUCCCAAAGAUCCCAUCCCCUAAUACCAUCAUAUUGGUGAUGAGGUUUCAAUACAUGAAUUUGGGGGGCUGGGGACACAAACAUUCAGACCACAGUAGUUGUUACAUUGAUAUGAGCUGGUAAGUGUUAACACCUGGCAGCAAUCAGAUACCCAGCCAUAGGUGAAGGCAGGUGAUUAGAAUUACCAGCCAACACAUUUAUGUGCUAGCUAAUUUUUAUUCAAAACUUUCUGAAGCUACAUUCAAAGCAGUUAAUGGGAAAUGGAGUAAAAAAAUAGGCAACCUCUCACUCUAGAUAAUGCUGUUAAAAGUAAUUUUUCCUCCCAGUCCUCUCCUGUAAUGAAUAGUAUAAGAAGGUAUCCUCCCAACGUAGAGGCACCUUGUGUUUCCAAAGUUUUAAUUAGUUGUCAUGAUAAUUUUAUGUGUCAACUUGACUGGGUUAAGGGAUGCCCAAAUAGGUAGUAAAACAUUAUUUCUGGGUGUAUCUGUGAAGGUGUUUCUGGAUAAAAUUAACAUUUGAAUGGGUAGACUGAGUAGAGCAGACUGUCCUCCCCCAUGUGGGUGGCCCUUAUCCAAAUGGUUGAAGGCUAAAAUAGAACAAAAAAGCUGAGUAGAGGGGAUUCCCUCUGCCUGACUACCUUCGAACUGGGGCGGUGGCUGUUUCCUGCCUUUGGACUUGAACUGAAACAUCAGCUCUUCCUGAGUCUUGAGCCUCCUGGCUUUUGAACUGAAACAACAGUAAUGGCUCUCCUGGUUCUCAGGCAUUUGGACUUUGACUAGAACUACACCAUCAGUUCUCCUGGGUCUCCAGCUUGCCAAUCUCCAGUUUGCCAACUGCGGAUCUUGGGACUUGUCAGCCUCCAUAACUCCAUGAACCAAUUUUUUGUAAUAAAUCUCUUUCUAUAUGUCUA